UACGUAGGUGGCAAGCGUUGUCCGGAUUUAUUGGGCGUAAAGGGAGCGCAGGUGGUUUCUUAAGUCUGAUGUGAAAGCCCACGGCUUAGCCGUGGAGGGUCAUUGGAAACUGGGAAACUUGAGUACAGAAGAGGAAUGUGGAACUCCAUGUGUAGCGGUGGAAUGCGUAGAUAUAUGGAAGAACACCAGUGGCGAAGGCGACAUUCUGGUCUGUUACUGACACUGAGGCUCGAAAGCGUGGGGAGCAAACA
rnacentral:rRNA from 1 species